GAAGCUCUCUCUAGUCUCACUAUAAAUCUCCAUUUUCACAUCCCACUUCUAGCAGUCGCCGCCAUUAGGUUGUUAAGAGUCAUGCUCUGCUUCCAGGGUCGCUUUUGGCCAUCUCCUGCGACCUGCAGUCACCGUCCUCGCAGUUUCACGUAAACUCUGGCUUCAUCAUUAGUUAGGUUGAUACGGAGCUUUUCUAUUAAAUACUACUACCCAUUACAGUAGUUGUUUUUCUUGUUUUUUCUUUUUCUUUUUUUUUUUCCCUUUGUUUUCCCCUGUGAUUCUUUUUGGGCUUGUUUAAAGUGAUUGUCUGGUCCCUAUGAUGAACUUGACAAGUAAUUAAAAGUAGUGGACUGAUGAUACUCGUUGAUGACAACUUUGUUCUGAGGGAUUUUGUUUAUUCAUCGUUUUGCCAUUUUCUUUGGCUUUGUUUGUUUAUGGGCUCUAAAAAGGAUGAGUUUUUCUAGUCGCAGCAUUUUUUUUCAGAAGUGAGAACUGUUUAUUUGUCAAAUUUCUUUUAUCUCCUCAGUCUCACUCCCAGAAGGUAUGAAUAGAGACUUUUGGCUUAUAAAUUUACUUCUUGCUUAACAACUGGGGGAGGGGAGCAUUAAAUGAUGUUUUAAGGAGGGGAGCAUUAAAUGAUGUUUUAAGGGAAAGUUCCAUUUCUUUUACUUGCUUUUAUUUCAAUCGAAAACCAUUGCUUUUGGACUCUGUUUGUGCUACUCUUAUUCGGAAAGUGUAGAAAGAUCUGAGGCAAUAAGUUACUGCCUCGGUUACAGGCAUUAUUUUCUAGUAGGGAUUCAACUGACUAUUACACUUUCCCUUUAAGCUUUUCUUUAUUAAAAUUGGAUACUGUUUCUUGAAUAGCAAUGGUUGUUGCAGUGUAGAUGCAUAAAAAAAAAGACAUACAUAAUGCGGGAUGUAUGUAUAUAGGACCAUGCCAUACCUCUUAGAAUGUUUUAUGGUAUUGGGCUAGUAGUCUAUUAGGUAUAUGAUGUGAGGUUGUCUCUCUCCCUUCUUUUAUGAAAAUAAUGUUUAAUGUUUUGUUUCUUUAGUUCAAUGCGUCAUGGCUUUGAGCUUUAAAGGUGAUUGUCAAAGUUGUGAUAUGCUGUUCAAAAGGGUAGCCAUUUAUGCGAAGAUAGGGAAUUCUUAUGUGAUGGGUUAAAAUACUUCAGCCGGUCGCAUGCAGUUUUUGUUUUAAUCUAUAUUCUGUGAAAUUUUAUGAUGCUGGAGUGAGAUGAAUCAUAGUUUCUAGCUGCUACUUGGAACUUGCAGGGCUUCUUGUUCUUGAAAUUAUCCUGUGCUCAUUGGUAUGUACUGACUUGUCUCAAAUGUACUUGCAUAGAUGAUUGGAUGUGUAAAUGUUUGGAUUUUCUUAAAGAAAAAUGUAGUAUGAGAUGCAUGUCAUUGAUUGGUAAUGCUUAAGCACCAUUGAACGUUUCUUGCAUUAAGCUGUUUCCUCAGAAGGUCCUGGGCAAUCUUUCACAUUAUUGGUUCUUGGACCGGGAAGAUAAGGGUUUGACAGAUUAAACAGGGACGGUGCUUCGAUGGUAGCAACUGUACAGUAUGAUAGACCUAGACCUAGACCUAUAUUAACAGCUCAAAAGCAUUUGUUUGCUCGAUUGCCUGGAACUUGUUAAUGUCCUUCUCCCUUUUCUUGCAUUCCUAUGAAGAUUGCAUCUGUAUUUUAACGUUAAAAGUAGACUGAAAGUCAACUGAUGACAAAUCAAUUCUGAGGGAUGCACUCUUAAGCCUUGUCUGUUUGCUUCCUGCUAUACUGGCUUUUCAUGUAAACAGUUAUUUGUCUAAACAAACUGGUAAAUUUUGUUUUUCCGUCUUGCUGAACUUAGUUUAGCUAUUUAGUGCACUUUCUAUUAUGCCGAUUAGUUUAGCUAUUUAGUGAACGUUUCUAUAACGCCGAUCUAUUAAUCAUUGAUGCUACCCACUUACCCUUGUAGCAAAAGGCUAAAAACUUAAAUGUAAAAGGAACAAUUCAGCUAUAAUUCUUGGACUGGAUUUCUCUCUUCUAAAUUGAUGCAUUUUAUCUGCUAAGAUGGCAGUUUAUUGGCCAUUGACAAGAAUUAGUAUGGAGCAUUUAUCUUGUGUCUUUGACUGUAUCUUUCUCUGCUUUGUCCACAAGUACCUCCAGUUAUUUCAAUUCUGUCACCGGCUAUGUGGCUCAGAGGAUCUACUUUACGAAUUUCUCCUGUACUAUUGCACAAUUAGUUGUUCAACUUUCUGACUCUCAAGGUGUUAGUGUAUUCAUGCCUACUUGAAGAUGCUGAUUUAUAAUUUUCGUGACUGCCGCCCUCCACCUCCUCCUCCCACCCAUUUCCUUUUUGGAUAGAUUGGUUUGUGUCACAAUGGAGCAUAAGCACUUUAGUGAACUCCGUUGUUGAUUGUCAGCUAUGUCAUUUAGUAUUUAAUGGUUCUUUCUAGUGGAAGCCUCCAAUGGAAACUGCAGAGCUUGUACUGAAUCCCCUCUAGCAAAAAGAUUCUGAUGGCUGGCAAUCUUCAACCUUUGAGCAAGCACAUGACUUAUCGUCUUCGGCUGAAAUGGUGAUUCAAAUUUGUUCCAAGGCAAAAAGGAGGCUGAUGAUCUUUGGCAAUGAUGGAGAAGAAAGCUGCAAAGGAAAUGGUUUGUACGAGAGAAUCAUUACUCACUUCCUUAUUCCAACUUGCGAAAGUUGACACCAAUGCAUUCGCAACGUGGGAGCGAUUGGUGCUAUGAUUCCCGACUUCUUGGGCGUUGGAAAUGCAGUAAUUCGACGAUUAAAGGGCGAGUCUUGUACAUUGUUGAAACAUAUAUGACUAUUGUUCUUUCAUUUUUUUUUUAUGCAUUUCGUACAAAAAUACCUCUGAGCAAAAAUAGUGCGGAACAUGUAAUUGAAAGCACCGCCUUACAAAUUUCAUCCUUUUUCUUUACGUUGAAUCAUGGUUAGUUCC